UGACGACCAUAGCGUACCGGUCCCACCCGAUCCCAUCCCGAACUCGGCAGUGAAACGGUUCCGCGCCGAUGGUAGUGUGGGGUCUCCCCAUGCGAGAGUAGGUCAUCGUCA
rnacentral:rRNA from 1 species